rnacentral:lncRNA from 1 species
GGUUUCAAGGAUGAAAGGUUGGAACGUGGGCAUUCAUUUCCUGGAGAUGGUAAUGGUAAUUUUUCUGUUGGCAGGUAGAAUUGGAACAUGAAAAUUAAGGAUGAUACCUUUGCUGCUCAAGCAGCGGCUGAGUUUGCAGAACAUGCAAGCCUAGCUGCCAGAGUUGUUGUAGAACUUACAAGGCAAAAUUGUGUUGAUGAUGGUGGAUCAUGCCACUUAGGUUUCAAGGAUGAAAGGUUGGAACAUGGGCAUUCAUUUGCUGGAGAUGGUAAUGGUAAUUGUUCUGUUGGCUAGUAGAAUUGGAACAUGAAAUUUAAGGAUGCUACCUCUGCUGCUCAAGCAGUGACUGAGUUUGCAGAACAUGCAAGCCUAGCUGCCAGAGCUGUUGUAGAACUUUCAAGGCAAUAUUGUGUUAAUGAUGGUGGUUCAUGCCACUUAGGUUUCAAGGAAGAAAGGUUGGAACAUGGGCAAUCAUUUCCUGGAGAUGGUAAUGGUAAUUGUUCUAUUGGCAAGCAGAAUUGGAACAUGAAA